GUGCCCUUCCUGUGAUGAAACCUGUGUUGGUAGGGACAUCUGAGACUUGAUGAAUGCCAACUUCUCUGAUGGCAGUGC
ensembl:snoRNA small nucleolar RNA SNORD74